ensembl:lncRNA
AACAUAAACAUAUCUUUUUGAUAUAUUUCUUUAUUUUCUCCCAUUUCCUCUCACUAGGAAAAAACAAAGAACAGAAAUAGUCACUGACUUUGGAACAGAGAUGAGGAAAUAAGAGGGACAUUAACUGCCAUCAAAGAAGCAGAAAUCUGUGCAUGCUUGUAAACAGGAAGCUCUGAACUUAAACUGUACAUCACACUCAGAUAUCUUCUCUUGAAAUGUCUCCUCAGGACUUUUGUCAUCUCUGGAAGUAUUCUUUCACAUUUUACCAAGAUGAUUUCAGGAAAUGUCCAACAGUAGUAGUAACACGAAGGAACAGCUCUGUAAGUUCACUUUGCAAGACUAUGUGAACUGUCUUGGUUUCUUUCAAAUGCCUGUACAUCAUAUACCUGCUGGCAAUAAAGCUGUAAAUUAACAAGGGCUUACAGGUCUAAGAAGAGUUUUUGGACUUUUUACUUCUGAGGUUAUGAUGAUGGCUGCAUCAUAGCUAUUCCACUGCAUUCCAAUUACACUCAUCCCUCAGUGCAGUACGACACUGCACACUGUGCUAACACAGCAUGCCUGGCCAUCGGGCUGGAAACACUACCUGAAAGGACCAUUUUUCAGUGUGCAGAGCCUUCUACUGCUAAGGCACUCAUGCUGUGGCUAGGAGAUGUGAGCCAGCAUCGUGGUUUACAUCUCUGCAAGUUUUCCCUCCAAAAGUGAUGAUUGAACAGUUAAUUUUAGCUGAAAAAAAGUUCAAUAAAGAGUCAAAAAUAAUAAUGACCUUCAUAAAUAAAGCAGCGUGACUGAGAUGAGUAAUAUCUACUGCCUGACUACUGACUAGAUACUCCCAAACUACAAGCUAGCUAGUAAAAGAAAAAUAAAAGCAUAUACAGAACACUGUACAAGAGAGGCUAUCAGAACGAAACGUUUUAACUCUGUGCCACCUGUUUAAAUUGGUUUUGCAACCAUAAGAAUGAAUGGAAGCACCUCCGUAACCCCGGCGCUGGCCUUGCGACGCCAGGGCUGGCCGUGACUCCGCGGGGCGGUGCUGGGCAGCUCGGCCGCAGCCCUCAGUCCGGCCGCACCGCGAGCACUCCCAGGCCGGGGCCGCAGCGC